AUUGAACGCUGGCGGCAUGCUUUACACAUGCAAGUCGAACGGUAACAGGGAGCUUGCUCCGCUGACGAGUGGCGAACGGGUGAGUAAUGCGUCGGAACGUGCCGAGUAGUGGGGGAUAACGCAGCGAAAGUUGUGCUAAUACCGCAUACGUACUGAGGUAGAAAGUGGGGGACCUUCGGGCCUCACGCUAUUCGGACGGCCGGCGUCUGAUUAGCUAGUAGGUGAGGUAAAGGCUCACCUAGGCGACGAUCAGUAGCGGGUCUGAGAGGAUGAUCCGCCACACUGGGACUGAGACACGGCCCAGACUCCGACGGGAGGCAGCAGUGGGAAUUUUGGACAAUGGGCGAAAGCCUGAUCCAGCCAUGCCGCGUGUCUGAGGAAGGCCUUCGGGUUGUAAAGGACUUUUGUCGGGGAGGAAAUCCCCAGCGCUAAUACCGCUGGGGGAUGACAGUACCUGAAGAAUAAGCACCGGCUAACUACGUGCCAGCCGCCGCAGUAACAC
rnacentral:rRNA from 1 species